rnacentral:snoRNA from 15 species
GAGACUGUACUUCUCAGGAUCAUUUCUGUAGUACGGUUUCCCGGUGGGAGUUCCACCUUGCUCGCCAAAGCACCCGCGAUGACGAGACUCGGCGUCGUCCCCUGAGCGUGAAGCUCGCCGGGGUCGUCGCUGGAAAGCAUUUUUGGUGAUCGCCCGGCGUUGAGGAACGUCGGCUGGCCCCCCUUGGGGGUCGGCCGCGGGGGCGACGCUCUCUGAGCGGG